rnacentral:rRNA from 1 species
GAUGAGCGCUGGCGGCGUGCCUAAUACAUGCAAGUCGAGCGAACGGACGAGAAGCUUGCUUCUCUGAUGUUAGCGGCGGACGGGUGAGUAACACGUGGAUAACCUACCUAUAAGACUGGGAUAACUUCGGGAAACCGGAGCUAAUACCGGAUAAUAUUUUGAACCGCAUGGUUCAAAAGUGAAAGACGGUCUUGCUGUCACUUAUAGAUGGAUUCGCGCUGCAUUAGCUAGUUGGUAAGGUAACGGCUUACCAAGGCAACGAUGCAUAGCCGACCUGAGAGGGUGAUCGGCCACACUGGAACUGAGACACGGUCCAGACCCCUACGGGAGGCAGCAGUAGGGAAUCUUCCGCAAAGGGCGAAAGCCUGACGGAGCAACGCCGCGUGAGUGAUGAAGGUCUUCGGAUCGUAAAACUCUGUUAUUAGGGAAGAACAUAUGUGUAAGUAACUGUGCACAUCUUGACGGUACCUAAUCAGAAAGCCACGGCUAACUACGUG